rnacentral:rRNA from 1 species
UACGGGGGGAGCAAGCGUUGUUCGGAUUUACUGGGCGUAAAGGGCGCGUAGGCGGCCAGCACAAGUCAGUUGUGAAAUCUCCGAGCUUAACUCGGAAAGGUCAACUGAUACUGUGCGGCUAGAGUGCGGAAGGGGCAACUGGAAUUCUUGGUGUAGCGGUGAAAUGCGUAGAUAUCAGGAGGAACACCGGCGGUGAAGACGGCUCUCUGGACCGAUACUGACGC